CGCUGCUGGGCCAGCGAGGCUGCCGGGGGCCUGGGGGUCCCGGGAGCGGCGCGGCGGGGCCACUGCGGAUGAAGGUUGACAGUGGCCUGACGGUGCUGACAUCUCUUCCAGAUCUGUUUCCAUCCAAUGAAAGGACCUGCUUCUCGGGUAACCUGAAGCUUUAACAAAUACCUUCGAAGGAAGAUACCUUUCAAAUAAUCCACGCCAGAAAAAAGGACUUUGCUCAGCUUUGUGUGAGGAUUAAGAGGGAAGGAAGGCUCUGCUCUGCUUUUUAAGGAACAGCAGCAAAUUACAGCUAUGGCAGUUGAGUCACUGAUCAUCCGCUUCCCAGUGCAUAAACCCCUCACUGAAAAAAAACCAAC